GUUCUCUCUUUUGAUUAGCCAGUUGUGUCUAAGAUGUUUUUAGAAAAAAAAAAACACUUUAGAGACAACAGGUAGAGGGUACUUGAGGACUAGGUUGGAAACCCCUGACGUAAAGCAAUUCUUCACCAACCUCCAAACUCUCCUUUUACCUCUCUCAAACCUCACCUGGCCUAGCUCUGCAACCUCUUUCCACCCUCUCAACUCGACAUCAUGGCACCUCCUAUACUUAAACACAGCAAGCGCUCCCAACGACAACCUUAGCACACCAAGCUGACCCAUUACCUGCAAAAAUGUUCCAGAACUGCUGAACACUGCUGGAGGUCUCACUCUGCUUCUGAUUUUCUUCACUAUAAAGUUAUGCUGAGCUCAUACAGCUUGGCUCUUUCCUCUGCAAAAGUAAAUUACUUCAACACCGUCAUAACCACGCUUAACUCUCUUCUUUGCACUGUUGCCCAUCAUUCUCCAACCAACUUGACCACCACAAACUUUGCAACUCACUUCACUGAGAAGAUCUCCACAAUAAGAGACCUCUCUCCUUCCCCUAACAAUACAUCGCCCAACCCCACUCCCUCCGCUGUUCUAUGUUCAUUCACACCCACCACAGUGGAAAGGUUUUUGCUAUGUUUCAGUUCUCCUGCCCCACCACCUGCUACCUUGAUCCUAUUCCCUCGCAUGUCAUACGCUCCUUCUUUUGCUCGGCCUCUCACUACAAAUCUCAAUCUCUCCUCAGGCCUAUUUACAUCACCCUUCAAAUAUGCAACUGUAAUCAAUAAAUGAUUCUAAAAAAGCCCAACCUUGAUCCUAACUCCACAUCCAACUACUGCCCUAUCUCGCUACUGCCUUUUGCACCCAAGAUCCUUAAAAGAGCUGACAUUUCAUUUACAGAUGUUUGCAAG